rnacentral:rRNA from 1 species
GCCACAGCGACUAUGCUCUCAUGUUACACACACACAACAGUACACAUAUGUGUUGUGUUGUGUACAACAACUAUGUGUAUAUAUAUACAUUUGCAUUUUCGACCUGAACUCAGACGUGAAUACCCGCUGAACUUAAGCAUAUCAUUUAGCGGAGGA